GUCAGGUUGGCCGAGCGGUCUAAGGCGCCAGAUUUAAGCUCUGGUUCUCAUCUGAGAGCGUGGGUUCGAACCCCACACCUGACA
rfam:Drosophila ananassae strain TSC#14024-0371.13 Ctg01_19601, whole genome shotgun sequence.